AUUUUCCUUAAUACUAAAUUUCACGAGAUACCAAUUUCAGUCUGUAAGAUUUAUUUAAUACUUAGAAUUUAUUUCUUAUUUCACCAAGAAAGUGAUUUAGGUGAAAAUAAUAUAUAAUUGCAGUAUAUUAUAUUUGUAAUGAAUGGAAAUGUACUCGUGUAAAAAUGAUGUCCUGGCCGAAAAAACGAGGUUCUUCCCAGAGCAACAGGCCUUGCUCGCUAGUCGCUACUUGCGGACGCACACAAAGCCAUAGUUGCAGCUUGAAAUGUAACUAAAGUUUGUGCAUGACGAGUUGAUUCAUCAGGGACAAUUUUAUCUGAGAAAUUGUCAGGUAUUAAACAUAGGCACCUCUUCUAAACUUUCAUUUGCACGAUGUGACAGAAGUAAUUUGGUGCAGCUGUAAUGCAUUCAUUCCCAAACAAAAAAUGGAAUGGAUUGGGCCUGGUCUCCAGCUGGCCCAUUAUCGAUUGCGAACGACCCGAUUGUUGUUGACAGUAAAAAAUGAAAAUGAAUUUGUGUAUUUUUUUAAUUUCCACGAACCAUACAAAACGCAAACAUCACGGUCAUGUCGAGGGGUCAGUGAGUUUGGAGUCCCUCGUUGAAGAGUGAAGACAGUAGGCGUCGGAGUGAAGGGCAAACUCAAUCGUCCUUGUGCUUUACCAUGCUCUGCCUCAAAACCCGGCCGUUAUCCUCUCCGUUUUCUCUCACUUUCUCGUCUUCCAAACGCCUCCGUCCUCGUCUUCCUUCUCCUCCUUCCUUCAAACCCUACUCUCAUUCCAUCAACAUGUCCUCCACCCAAACCAUUGAGCAUAUCGUCUUGUUCAAGGUCAAGGACGAUACUGACCCCUCAAAGGUCAACACCAUGGUCAGUGGACUCAGCUCUCUCGUUUCACUCGACCAGGUCCGCCACCUCACCGUGGGUCCGCUGCUGCGCAACCGAUCCUCCGCCCUUACUUUCACUCACAUGCUCCAUAGUCGCUACGACUCCAAAGAUGACCUCAGCGCCUAUUCGGCCCAUCCCAGCCAUCUCAGCGUCGUCAGAGGAUCUGUGCUUCCCAUCUGCGAUGACAUCAUGGCCGUCGAUUGGGUCGCCCACAACCUUGAGGGCGAUCUCGUUCCGCCUCCAGGCUCCGCAAUUAGAGUGAGCUUCUUGAAGCUGAAGGAAAAUUUGGGCGAUGAGGUUAAGAACGGGGUUUUGGGGGUUAUUGGUGGAAUUAAAGAGAGGUUCGGACAAAUUAGGCAGCUCAGCUACGGGGAAAAUUUCUCGCCUGCGAGGGCUAAAGGGUUCUCGAUUGCGUCGCUUGCAGUUUUUCCCGGACAGGCCGACUUGGAUGCUGCGGCUUCAAAUGAGGACUUGGUGAACCAGCAAAAGGAUAAGGUUAGGGAGCAUCUGGACAGUGUGGUGGUCGUUGAUUAUCUGGUUCCAUCACCACAACCUCGGCCUGCGAGCCUUUGAUGAGUUUAGCUGUAGCAUUUUAUCUUGGUAGUGGAGGUAUCGAGCUUAUUUGGAGGAAAAAAGUAUAAGCAAUCCAUCAAUUAUGGGAAAUCAUAUUGGUAAGCCUGCACCUCCGUCCAGUUUGUUUUGCACCACAUAAUAACAUGUAUAUUUGAAUAUACAUGUUCUUAUGUAUGAAAGUUGGGGUCAGGGCUCUGGCCCUUGAGUUUUCAUCUUAAAUAGGCUUGGGGCUGAAUCUCAAUAAAACGAAACUGGGGUCUGGUUUCAUCAUCAUAAUAUCGCUCAC